AAGCGUGAAGCAAAUAUUGCAAUCAGUUUCGACCUGAUCUUAGAUAAUAUAAUUAUCCACACUUU
rnacentral:tRNA from 1 species